AUUGAACGCUGGCGGCAGGCCUAACACAUGCAAGUCGAGCGAGCGGCGGACGGGUGAGUAAUGUAUGGGGACUGCCCGAUAGAGGGGGGUAACUACUGGAAACGGUAGCUAAUACCGCAUACUAUCGGAUAACCCAUAUGGGAUGAGCUAGUAGGGGGGGUAAUGGCUCACCUAGGCGACGAUCCCUAGCUGGUCUGAGAGGAUGAUCAGCAACCCUGGGACUGAGACAGGGCCAAGACGCCUACGGAGGCGGCGGUGGGAAAUAUUGGACAAUGGCCGCAAGCCUGAGGCAGCCAUGCCGCGGGUAUGAGGAGGGCCCUAGGGUUGUAAAGUACGUUCAGUCGGGAGGCGUUACCGACAGAGGAAGCACCGGCUAACUCCGUGCCAGCAGCCGCGGUAAUUC
rnacentral:rRNA from 1 species